CGCUGGCGGCACGCCUUAUACAUGCAAGUCGAACGAAGUAGCAAUACUUAGUGGCAGACGGGUGAGUAACAUGUAGGUAUCUUCCCUUUGGUGAAGAAUAACACGAGGAAACUUGUGCUAAUACUUCAUAAGUCUUUACGGAGAAAGCUUUAUGCGCCAAAGGAUGAGCCUGCAUUUGAUUAGUUUGUUGGUGGGGUAAUGGCCUACCAAGACUUUGAUCAAUAGCUGAUCUGAGAGGAUGAUCAGCCACAUUGGGACUGAGACACGGCCCAAACUCCUACGGGAGGCAGCAGUAGGGAAUAUUGCACAAUGGAGGAAACUCUGAUGCAGCGAUGCCGCGUGAGUGAAGAAGGCCUUUGGGUUGUAAAGCUCUUUCGUCGGGGAAGAAAAUGACUGUACCCGAAUAAGAAGGUCCGGCUAACUUCGUGCCAGCAGCCGCGGUAAUACGAAGGGACCUAGCGUAGUUCGGAAUUACUGGGCUUAAAGAGUUCGUAGGUUGUUAAAAAAGUUGGUGGUGAAAUCCCAGAGCUUAACUCUGGAACUGCCAUCAAAACUUUUUAGCUAGAGUAUGAUAGAGGAAAGCAGAAUUUCUAGUGUAGAGGUGAAAUUCGUAGAUAUUAGAAAGAAUACCAAUUGCGAAGGCAGCUUUCUGGAUCAUUACUGACACUGAGGAACGAAAGCAUGGGUAGCGAAGAGGAUUAGAUACCCUCGUAGUCCAUGCCGUAAACGAUGUGUGUUAGACGUUGGGAAUUUAUUUUCAGUGUCGCAGCGAAAGCAUUAAACACACCGCCUGGGGAGUACG
rnacentral:rRNA from 1 species